AUUGUUUCUCGGCCUUUUGGCUAAGAUCAAGUGUAGUACAUCCAUUUCUGUGAGCUACAUUUUUCCUUCUAAUCUAGGACCAGAGGUGACUUGUCCUGACCUCACUUCUGGUUCCUGCACCAUUACAACUGUCUGCUUGGGAUGGGGCUUCUUC
ensembl:snRNA U2 U2 spliceosomal RNA